UCUCUUUCUCUUUCUAAUCUCUCUCUAAACUCCCUCCGGUCGGUGACCAGUGAAACCAUUGCUACCGCCACCGUCGUCAAUGUAUUCUCUGCUCUAGUCUCUUUCCAAAGCCUCCUGUCACCAGCACCGAUAGCCACGCCUCCAGCCACCAUUCCAACCGCCGUCAUUGCCAGUACCUUCAGCAUCGCCAGCUACCAGGCAGCCGAUGAUCCUCCCUCUCUGCUAUCGCUUCAUUCUCCGCCUUCCAGAUCUGCCUCGCCAGUCGGCUACCAGCCGCGCCUCCAAUAGCGCUCCCUCAACUGGCAAAAUCUCCCACCAGUCGCGCCGCCAAUGAUGCUAAAUCUGAUGGCUGCUUCGCUCUAGCCAUUUCUUACUCUUUUGUCCCCUCUUCGAUGACUUCCCCACAAUGAUACCUACAGCAGAC
rnacentral:lncRNA from 1 species